rnacentral:lncRNA from 1 species
GCCAAACAGCUGUGUAUUUAGGAAAGCACCUGUUAUUGUGUGGAUGGGAAGUCUCUUCUGAGACUUGAGUUUGAAGACCUGGACCCCAGCUGGUAGUGCUAUUUUGGGAAGUUCUGGAAACUUUAGGAGACAAAGCUGGAAGAAAUAAUGUCAUUAGGCAUCUGUACUUAGGGUCUGUAUCUUGUUCUGGAUUCCUCUAUGUCUCUCUGUCUACUUCCUGCCCACCAAAGCUGAGUAGUUUCUGUCUCAUGCUCUGUUAUUUACUUUGGUGUUGGAUUGUAUGUUUGAUUGUUUAUUUUGAGACAGAGCCCUUUCCAUUGCUCUUCAUGCUGUUGCUCCUCUCUGUAACAAAUGUCAUCUGGGGAAUACUCAGUUACAAUUCUAUUAUCUAUCCAAGAACUCACCAGCCUAUUCUGUUCUGUAUAGGAAAUAAAAUGAUGACUGAGAAAUACACAGUAUUUGCCUCUCAAGAGCAUCCAGGGACUUCAUCCAGUAGAGAUAAUGGGCUGUUUUCAAGCAGAAAAGCUGUUCAUGAAGGCAGGAAAGACUGAGAGAACAGACUUCUAUGCAGAAGAGGAAGCAGAAAGAUUUUAAGAGCCAGAAGUGGUGGGUGACUCCAGGAUGAUGGACAUAUGAACACGCAGUGAUUGUGACACCGUGCAGAAAACCUGCAGUUUCAAACCAGACAAAAUCCCAUUACUGAGAAGAAGGAAUGGACAUGAAGCCCUGCCCCCACUAACAAAGAAGGUAUUUGCAACAGAUACCUGCUGGAAAGGGGAGUCACCAGGGAUAUCAACUACACCCUAGGUCCAGGAGUAGUUAGUUGGCCAACACAAAACAGAGUAUGUGUUUUUGUUUAGUGUGUGCAUGAAUGCACUUUUUUUGUUUUAGUAUUUUUGUUGCUGUUGUUCUAUUGGAGGGUUUUUCCCUUUUUUGAUUUUUUUUUUUUGCAGGAGGUUAGGUAGUUGAGAGAGAAAAAAACAAAAGUUGGAGGGGUAGGAAGGUGCAGAGGAUCUGAAGUAGAUGGGGGAAAAUAAAUAUCAGAAAAAGAAAGAGAAAAGGAAUGUUUUAAUGAAUGUGAAAAAUAAAAUGUACUCAUGAAAUGCCGAGUUCACACCUUCAUCUACUUCAGGCUAUUCCCUCUUCACAGUCAAAAACUAUACCAAUAGUGUGGUGAGAAUUAUACCAGCCCUUUUUCUUUGUAUCCACAUUAAUAUACUGGUUUUAUAUCAACUCUUUCACAAGUAUGGUUCACCAUAGCUUCUCAUAGCAAAUAAACUUACUACCAUGUAUAUGUCUUCUUAAACUUUGCCUAUUGCUUUAAAGCUAAAAGAAUGAUCCACUAAGUGUAGGACAAAGAAUAGCAUGAAUACUGAGAGAUGCAGAAUGGGCAGAUGGCUGGCCUUUAUGCUCAAAAUACCCCACGAAUACAUGGGCAUACUUCAUGCCCAUGCCACACAAAACUUUUUAAAUUUAGCAGUGGAAGAAUAAGUACAGAAUUUUGGAUUUUGCUUUCUUUUUAUAGUAUUUCUGUUGCUAAUGAUAAAAACAAAACCACAGAGACAUAAUUUGAGGGGUACACAUUCUAUUACAUUUCUAUAUUUACUAGAUAGUUUGGAAGAAGGGUCUUAUUUCUUUGGGAGUUUAUUUUGGUAGUAGACUAUGAUUUUGAAAAGAUCUAAAGUUGAAAGCAACUACAGUCUAGAAACAGGAAGGGGGCAUAUAUUUUCGUGUUCUUCCCUUCACACUGUGUCUGCACAGGCCAAGGUGAUUGGUUCUUCCAGCCCACUCAAGCUGUGAAUAUCUUUACAUGUGGUAAGUCUUACCCUAGCGCCUUAGUAACAGGCCUUGAACAAAGUAUUUAAAGCUCUGAACAAGAUGGCAUCUUAGCGUAAUGAGGUUUACUACUUUCUAAAAAAAGAAGAAAAAAUGAAACACCUUUUGAAGCAACUGCCAGGGAACAAAAAAGGAUUUGUACUACACCAGAGAGAUUUUUGGUGUUCAGGGUAAAAAGAAAACUCUCAUUGAAAAGACUUCAGGGGAAUGUCUGUGAGAUUGGGAUCUUGUCAAGCACUUAGUUCAAAAGAAGUAAAAGACUGCAAAAGGGCAGAUAAUGAAAGAGGAAAGGGUGUAAGGACAAAGUUAAGCAAAAUUCUAUUUUAGACAUGGCAGCUUUCAAACAAUGGCCAUUAAUAUUAAUUAUGAUAGUCAGUAAGAUAUUAAUACUUGAUUUGAAGAUGGCCAUUAGCUUAUGAGCUAAAUUAGAGAUCAGAAAAUAACUAAAAUCACUUGCAACAGGCAAAACCCAAAAGUUAAAAAUCGGACUUUUUAAGAGUUAAGGACUAAUAAAGAAAAGGUAAUGAAUGUAUCCAUUCAUAUUUAAUGAAAGGCUGAGGAAACUUGUUAUCUUUUCCCAAG